UGGGGAAUUUUGGACAAUGGGCGAAAGCCUGAUCCAGCAAUGCCGCGUGUGUGAAGAAGGCCUUCGGGUUGUAAAGCACUUUUGUCCGGAAAGAAAUCCUUGGCUCUAAUACAGUCGGGGGAUGACGGUACCGGAAGAAUAAGCACCGGCUAACUACGUGCCAGCAGCCGCGGUAAUACGUAGGGUGCAAGCGUUAAUCGGAAUUACUGGGCGUAAAGCGUGCGCAGGCGGUUUGCUAAGACCGAUGUGAAAUCCCCGGGCUCAACCUGGGAACUGCAUUGGUGACUGGCAGGCUAGAGUAUGGCAGAGGGGGGUAGAAUUCCACGUGUAGCAGUGAAAUGCGUAGAGAUGUGGAGGAAUACCGAUGGCGAAGGCAGCCCCCUGGGCCAAUACUGACGCUCAUGCACGAAAGCGUGGGGAGCAAACAGGAUUAGAUACCCUGGUAGUCCACGCCCUAAACGAUGUCAACUAGUUGUUGGGGAUUCAUUUCCUUAGUAACGUAGCUAACGCGUGAAGUUGACCGCCUGGGGAGUACGGUCGCAAGAUUAAAGCUCAAAGGAAUUGACGGGGUCAU
rnacentral:rRNA from 1 species